UUUUUUUCAUCACCCUCCUCUUUAUCAUCUUCAUUCACAAAAUUAAACCAAAAGUUAAAUGUAUCCAUCUAUACUAACCUAAAAGGCUAAAGUCCAAAACGAUGAAGAAAACUUUGAAUCAAGAACAAAAAUAGUGAAGAAGGGGAUGGAGAGAGUUUGGUGUAGAAGAGUAAGAAGUUGAUUUCUAUCCAAAAACUUAACCCCAAUUGUCCAGAUGAGGCGGCAUUCACAAUUGUCCUGACAGCUUGUAGUCAUUCAGGGCUCAUUGAUAAGGGUUGGAAAUACUUCAACUCCAUGGAGGAAAAUUAUGGCAUUAGUCCUACACCUGAUCACUUUGCAUGUAUGGUUGAUCUUCUAGGCCGGUCUGGGCAAUUAAGGGAUGCUUAUGAACUUAUAAAAUCAAUGCAUAUAGAGCCUAAUGCUGGUGCAUGGGGUGCACUUAUUGGAGCAUGUAAACUACAGGGUGAUACAGAGUUAGGAGAGAUUGUUGCUAAUCGACUUUUUGAACUCGAGCCUCAAAAUGCUGCUAAUUACGUGCUGCUGUCUAACAUCUAUGCUGCAGCUGGGCGAUGGAAAGAUGUUUCCCUUGUGAGAAGUAAGAUGAAGGAAAGAGGAGUGUGCAAGAUACCUGGUUGCAGUAAACUUUAGUACCAUGCUGAGUUAUUUGUGGUUCCAUGUAUGAAGUUCAGAAUGUACAGAACAUGGAGAUCGGUAUGAGUUCUUGUCCAGUUGAUCUUGAAGCUCAGCAGUUAUUCCAUGGUAGGUAAAUUGCAAAUUAGUUGAUGCUAUACAAGUUUAUUGCCGUUUUUCACUAACUGUCGCAUAUAAUUUUAACAUGAGAGGAUCCAUUCUCAUUGAAGUUAAGUUAUGCUUUCUUCUAUGUUACUUAGGAUUGAGGUUUUAAUUUCAUUUAUGUCGUUUUUAGGGGUUGAACCUAUCCUGCCUUCAUAAGAUGCCCUGUCAUGAAUACGUGCUUAUGUGGCUAAUGUGUAUUGGUUGGGGUAAAUUACCCACCAUUCUUCCAUGGGUACCCUAGUUGUCACUUAAAAAUAAUAUUUCUUAAGUGAAGUUCAAAAUAAGUAACUGAAGACCAGUUUUUUACAUGUAACUCUUGCAUAUCCUAAGCACUCCAUACCUUGAACCACACACUGUUUCAAAUGUCUUUGCUGAUUCUCUACGUUUUUGUGUUUCCUUUUAAGGUUUUCUUCCACCUCAGUUGGUGGUGUUUUACUGUUGCUUUUAUUGCCUUGAGAGAGUCACCGCUAUUGCUACAGUUGUUUAUGAAGCUUCACUUGUAGCUAAUUAAGACAGUGAAGCUAAUGCCUUGUUUGGGCAGAAAGCGAGCCUUGACAAUCAAAUCACAAAUUCAUUGUCUUCUUGGAUUACUGGUACCAAUCCUUGUACAUGGAAAGGAUUCAAUGUGAUUAAUCCCCGUCUAUCAUCACAAUAAAGAUCUCAAGUAGCAUUGAAGCAGGUUGGCAGCCCAGAUUUAUAUGGUGGCGAUAACAUCAAACUAUUCACUUAUUAGACAAUGGAUUCUCAAUUCGAUUGCCCCGUUUUGUUCUUUCUUUUAAUUCAUUAUAAUAACUUGUUUAAUUACUUUGAUAGAUUGAUGCAUAUCAAGCAAUGGGAUGGUAUAACCUCCCUUGCUCUGGCUUUAUUCAAAUUAUCGAUAUAGGUCUGGGAGCAAGCAUCUUCCCACUUUCUAACCAUGCUUCUUCCCAAUAGGGAGUAUAACUUUAAGCAUCCUGGUAUGCGAGCACCAAGAACAUUUUGAGACCCACUCCCUGUAGAUGGUUGAAGACUAUGGAACCCACUUGAAGCCAUGACACCACACAGUUAAGCUUGUCAAAGAGAAAAGAAGAAACAGAGUUGCAAGGAAGAGGAGUCAAGGGGAAGCCGUCACAGGGAGGCUACCACGCACGUAAGGAGGAAAACACCCCUCAUGCAAUUCAUAACAUUUUUCCAAAACACGUUAUCCUUAACCGCCUUUUCCACAAUGAUCCCAUCUUUACUCUUUGCAAGUUUACCGGACUUCCACUCUUUCAAUGUGAACAUAAUAAUAAGUGCUCUAUAAUUGUGAUGCAAACACUCUAAUAUCAAGUAAGAUGCUGCAAAACGAGUCAUUGCAGGUUAAAUCAAAUAGUGUCUACAGUAAAUUUGUGCAAUAAAAGAAUA